CAGCCCCAGCCAGUGGCUAGGGCAGGGCUGCCUGGGUACCCUUCUCCUGCCAAGGCAACUCCUGGGGUCACUGUAGCCGGUAGUCCUGGCAUGGACUGCUCAGGAGGGGUCCUACUGUGGAUGGCAACAGUGUUUCCUACUGCCAAGGCAACAGUGUCUCCUACAGCCAGUGGAGCAGUGUUUCCUACAGUGGGUGGCAGCAGCGUCUCCUACUGCUGAUGGAAGAAUGUCUCCUACUAUGGAUGGCAACAGUGUCUGCUACAGUGGAUGGCAGCAGUGUUUCCUACUGCCAAUGGAAGUGUUUCCUACUGCCAAUGGAACAGUGUUUCCUACUGCUGAUGGCAACGGUGUUUCAAGGAGGAAGGCACUGGAACCCUGAGAGGGGCAGAGAUGUGCCCAGCUGGCACAGCCAGCAUGUGGUGGAGUCAGAACUGCCCAGCUCCAGACCCUUGUUCUCCCUCACCACACUCACUGCCAGUAACCCAGCUGCUGCCACACCCUCCACCCUCUCAAGUGCUCCUAAGGAGAAGGCCACCUGAACUCUGGACACAAGAAACAAGCCCUCUGGAUAAGUUACAAAAUGCUACAGCCCAUCAGUCUCCAAGAACAGAAGACUCCAGCAAUAUGUAUGGUUCUUUACCUGUCCCCACGGCCUCUGUCUUAGCCUGGAUGGACCAUGAUCCCUGUCUGUCUUUUGGUGCUAAUGUUCUCUCGCCUGCCUGCCUCCCGUCUCCCUGCCCUCUCUGAUUCAUUCUCUUUGCUUCAAACUGUGUCACAGUUUAAAUGAAAGUUGCCAGGGAAAAACUUUUUAUAAAUUAAAAAAAAAAUGUAUCACAGCACUAUCUUUUCUAAACCCUAUUGUCCUUGAGACAAAGCCCCAUAUUCUCACACAUACACAGACUCUCCUGCCUGAGUACUCUUCCCUCUGCCUCAACAUUCUUGCCCCAACUAAUCCCUGCUGGACUUUCAGGUUUCAGCAUCUGCACUGCCCACUCGAGAAGCCUUCCCUGGUUCCCCACCCCAACUCCAAGGUUAGAUGUCUGCCCUAAUUCUCUACCAUGGCAUUUCUCUACUGGUUACUGUUACCAGUUAAUUAUAGGGAGUCCAAGAGGGAGACUCCCCCAUCUGUAUUGCCCACAUUACACCCACAGGGUGCAGCACAGUGCCCAUGUCACCAACAAAUAGUUUUUAAGCAUCUAUUAAAUGUCAGGCACCACAACUGGCCCUGGGAAAAUGAUGGAGACUUAACAAAGUUCUCCUCUUCAUAGAAUUUACACUCUUGGUUUGUGUAUAUUCUAAAGUUAUUGCGGGCUGGAUGUGGUGGCUUACGUCUGUAAUCCCAGCACUUUGGGAGGCCGAGGCAAGUGGAUCACCCAAGGUCAGGAGUUCAAGACCAGCCUGGCCAACAUGGUGAAACCCCAACUCCACUAAAAAUGCAAAAGAACUAGCUGAGUGUGGUGGUGUGCACCUGCAGUCCCAGCUACUUGGGAGGCUGAGGCAGGAGAAUUGUUUGAGUCCAGGAGGUGGAGGUUGCAGUAAGCCAAGAUUGCGCCACUGCACUCCAGCCUGGGUGACAG